rnacentral:rRNA from 1 species
UACGGAGGGGGCUAGCGUUGUUCGGAAUUACUGGGCGUAGAGCGCACGUAGGCGGCUUUGUAAGUUAGAGGUGAAAGCCCAGGGCUUAACCCUGGAAUUGCCUUUAAGACUGCAUCGCUAGAAUCGUGGAGAGGUAAGUGGAAUUCCGAGUGUAGAGGUGAAAUUCGUAGAUAUUCGGAAGAACACCAGUGGCGAAGGCGACUUACUGGACACGUAUUGACGCUGAGGUGCGAAAGCGUGGGGAGCAAACAGG